rnacentral:rRNA from 1 species
GAUGAACGCUGGCGGCGUGCCUAAUACAUGCCAGUCGAGCGAACGGACGAGAAGCUUGCUUCUCUGAUGUUAGCGGCGGACGGGUGAGUAACACGUGGAUAACCUACCUAUAAGACUGGGAUAACUUCGGGAAACCGGAGCUAAUACCGGAUGAUAUUUUGAACCGCAUGGUUCAAAAGUGAAAGACGGUCUUGCUGUCACUUAUAGAUGGAUCCGCGCUGCAUUAGCUAGUUGGUAAGGUAACGGCUUACCAAGGCAACGAUGCAUAGCCGACCUGAGAGGGUGAUCGGCCACACUGGAACUGAGACACGGUCCAGACUCCUACGGGAGGCAGCAGUAGGGAAUCUUCCGCAAUGGGCGAAAGCCUGACGGAGCAACGCCGUGUGAGUGAUGAAGGUCUUCGGAUCGUAAAACUCUGUUAUUAGGGAAGAACAUAUGUGUAAGUAACUGUGCACAUCUUGACGGUACCUAAUCAGAAAGCCACGGCUAACUACGUG